rnacentral:lncRNA from 1 species
UAUAUUUAAGGAAUGACUGUAAUAUUUUUUCUGUCUAUGAAGAAAUAACAUAAAAAAUGUGGUGCACACUGAAUAACGCGCGUAGCGGGUUAUUUAACAGUGUGCACCACAUUUUUUAUGUUAUUUCGAAUAGACAGAAAAAAUAUUACAGUCAUUUCUUAUAAUUUAAUUCUAAAUUCCAUUUUAAACCGUAGAAAACAUGGAAAAAACGUUGAUGACGUCACGG